UACGUAGGAUCCAAGCGUUAUCCGGAAUUACUGGGCGUAAAGCGUGGGCAGGUGGCGAUUUAGGUCAGAUGCGAAAUCUUGCGGCUCAACCGUAUAGACUGUAUCUGAAACCGAGUUGCUAGAGGUUGGUAGAGGCAAGCGGAAUUUGUAGUGUAGCAGUGAAAUGCGUAGAUAUUACAAGGUACACCAAUGGCGAAGGCAGCUUGCUGGGCCACACCUGACACUCAGUCACGAAAGCGUGGGGAGCGAACGGG
rnacentral:rRNA from 1 species